CGGGACGUAGCUUAGCCUGGUAGAGCGCUUGCUUCGGGAGCAAGAGGUCGAGAGUUCGAAUCUCUCCGUCCCGACCA
rnacentral:tRNA from 5 species